rnacentral:lncRNA from 1 species
UUUUGUUCAGUGUUGCAUUUAGGAUUUCACAUAAUUCCAGCGGUUUAAUAGUUACGUAUAUUCGGGGCCAAUGAUGAAAUUGAAAUUGCAUAAACAAGUCUAGUAAGGAUUGUUAAGCCUGUGAUGUGUUUUUUGACAUGAUUUAAAUCUUUAUCUGUUUGAAACUGAUAUUAUCAGGAUAUCACAUGUUAAGAAAUGACCAUGUUGGUUGAGUAAGUUUAAAUGGUUAGAUAAUCGAUUUCUAAAAGAUAGAUACUGGUGGAAUGAAAGAAUAAUAUGAAUAAAUAGUGAUGGCUGAAUUUAGACAUGAAUUCAAGUUUAGGGGGAAAAUAUUUGGAGUAUAUAAGCUUUAUACAAUAAUAAAAAAAAAUCGUGGCUAGUUUUGUUUCGGGGCCUUUGUUACUUGAGCAAGUAAGCCCGAGGGAGUGUCUCUACACCUAGCGCCCUAAGGUCUUAUAUGGUCUAGGAGUCGUUGGUCGAAAGCUCGCUAAGGGGUAGCACUGUUAGCCUAAUGGAAUGAGGCAUUGCACAGUCAUGAAAAAAAAUGAAUAAAAAGGAAAAAAGUGCAAAAAGCCCCUGUUAAAAGUAAAAAAUAAUAAUAAAAUAAAAUAAAAAUAAAGCAUAAGUAUUCCAUUUUGACCCUUGGACUUUGGUAAUUGUUUGAUUUUAGCCGAAUCUAGUUUAUUUGAGGAGUUCUCGAGUUUACACAGUAUAAUGCCUUCUAAGAAAUCUAUUAUGUUUCGUAUUUUUCUUUUCCUCAGUUAGCAUGGUUGCUGAGCACACACACGAUAUUAGUAAUAGCAGGUUUAGAUUUGAUGAUUGUCGGGAUAUUAUUGAUCUGUCUUGAUAUGAUGUACUAGUAUGUUAUUGUGAUUUUUCUGAGGCC